rnacentral:tRNA from 1 species
GGAGGGCUGACAGAGCGGCCUAAUGUGACGGUCUUGAAAACCGUUGUUGCGAAAGUAACCGGGGGUUCGAAUCCCUCGCCCUCCGCCG